GACGAACGCUGGCGGCGUGCCUAAUACAUGCAAGUAGGACGCAGUUGCGAACGGGUGAGUAACGCGUAGGUAACUACCUAUUAGAGGGGGAUAACUAUUGGAACCGAUAGCUAAUACCGCAUACUAGUAGAUGGACCUGCGUUGUAUUAGCUAGUAGGUAGGGUAAUGGCCUACCUAGGCAACGAUACAUAGCCGACCUGGGAGGGUGAUCCGGCACACUGGGACUGGGACACGGCCCCGACUCCUACGGGGGGCAGCAAUAGGGAAUCUUCGGCAAUUGGGGGAACCCUGGCCGAGCAACUCCGCGUGGGUGGAGAAGGUUUUCGGAUCUUAAAACUCUGUUGUUAAGGGAGCGGUACUUAACCAGAAAGGGACGGCUAACUACGUGCCAGCAGCCGCGGUAAUUC
rnacentral:rRNA from 1 species